UUGAACGCUGGCGGCAGGCCUAACACAUGCAAGUCGAGCGGAUGAAGGGAGCUUGCUCCUGGAUUCAGCGGCGGACGGGUGAGUAAUGCCUAGGAAUCUGCCUGGUAGUGGGGGAUAGCGUCCGGAAACGGGCGCUAAUACCGCAUACGUCCUGAGGGAGAAAGUGGGGGAUCUUCGGACCUCACGCUAUCAGAUGAGCCUAGGUCGGAUUAGCUAGUUGGUGGGGUAAAGGCCUACCAAGGCGACGAUCCGUAACUGGUCUGAGAGGAUGAUCAGUCACACUGGAACUGAGACACGGUCCAGACUCCUACGGGAGGCAGCAGUGGGGAAUAUUGGACAAAGGGCGAAAGCCUGAUCCAGCCAUGCCGCGUGUGUGAAGAAGGUCUUCGGAUUGUAAAGCACUUUAAGUUGGGAGGAAGGGCAGUAAGUUAAUACCUUGCUGUUUUGACGUUACCAACAGGAUAAGCACCGGCUAACUUCGUG
rnacentral:rRNA from 1 species